rnacentral:rRNA from 1 species
CGAACGGGUGAGUAAUACAUCGGAACGUGCCCAGUCGUGGGGGAUAACUACUCGAAAGAGUAGCUAAUACCGCAUACGAUCUGAGGAUGAAAGCGGGGGACCUUCGGGCUUCGCGCGAUUGGAGCGGCCGAUGGCAGAUUAGGUAGUUGGUGGGAUAAAAGCUUACCAAGCCGACGAUCUGUAGCUGGUCUGAGAGGACGACCAGCCACACUGGGACUGAGACACGGCCCAGACUCCUACGGGAGGCAGCAGUG